AGUAGUUUGAUCCUGGCUCGAGGACGAACGCUGGCGGCGUGCUUAACACAUGCAAGUCGAGCGGAGACAUGUAACGGAAAGCUUCGGCCGGAAGAUAUAUGUUUUAGCGGCGGACGGGUGAGUAACGCGUGAGCAACCUGUCCUUCACAGGGGGAUAAGAUACCGAAAGGUGUUCUAAUACCGCAUAAGACCACAACGUCACAUGGCGAAGGGGUCAAAGGAGCAAUCCGGUGAAGGGUGGGCUCGCGUCCGAUUAGAUAGUUGGUGAGGUAACGGCUUACCAAGGCGACGAUCAGUAGCUGGUCUGAGAGGAUGAACGGCCACAUUGGGACUGAGACACGGCCCAGACUCC
rnacentral:rRNA from 1 species